UACGGGGGGGGCAAGCGUUGUUCGGAAUUACUGGGCGUAAAGGGCUCGUAGGCGGCCAACUAAGUCAGACGUGAAAUCCCUCGGCUUAACCGGGGAACUGCAUCUGAUACUGGAUGGCUUGAGUUCGGGAGAGGGAUGCGGAAUUCCAGGUGUAGCGGUGAAAUGCGUAGAUAUCUGGAGGAACACCGGUGGCGAAGGCGGCAUCCUGGACCGGCACUGACGCUGAUGCGCGAAAGCGUGGGGAGCAAACGGG
rnacentral:rRNA from 1 species